rnacentral:rRNA from 1 species
CAGCCGCCGCGGGAAUACGGAGGGUGCAAGCGUUACUCGGAAUUAUUGGGCGUAAAGGGAGCGCAGGCGGACAUAUAAGUCCAUCUUAAAAGUGCGGGGCUCAACCCCGUGAGGGGAUGGAAACUGUAUGCCUUGAGUGCAGGAGAGGAAAGCGGAAUUCCCAGUGUAGCGGUGAAAUGCGUAGAUAUUGGGAGGAACACCAGUGGCGAAGGCGGCUUUCUGGACUGCAACUGACGCUGAGGCUCGAAAGCGUGGGUAGCGAACAGGAUUAGAUACCCGAGUAGUCCCUGUCUCUUAUACA